rnacentral:rRNA from 1 species
CCUACGGGAGGCUGCAGUGGGGAAUAUUGGGCAAUGGGCGCAAGUCUGACCCAGCAAUGCCGCGUGAGUGAUGAAGGUAUUCGGGUUGUAAAGUUCUUUUCUCUGGGACGAAUAGAUGACGGUACCAAAGGAAUAAGCCCCGGCUAACUACGUGCCAGCAGCCGCGGUAAUACGUAGGGGGCAAGCGUUGUUCGGAAUGACUGGGGGUAAAGGGUGUGUAGGGGGGGUGAUAAGGUAGAUGUGGAAUACCGAGGGCUUAACCCGGGAGCUGCAUUUGAAACUGUUGGACUUGAGUACUGGAGAGGAUAGUGGAAUUCCUAGUGUAGCGGUGAAAUGCGUAGAUAUUAGGAGGAACACCAGUGGCGAAGGCGACCAUCUGGACAGCAACUGACGCUGAGGCACGAAAGCGUGGGGAGCAAACAGGAUUAGAUACCCGUGUAGUC